ACUAAUAUAUGAGGAAAGUCCGGGCUCCAUAAGAGCAAUGAUACUGGAUAACGUCCAGCGAGAGUAAUCUUAGGGAAAGUGCAACAGAAAAAAACAGCUAUUAUAUAGCAAUGGUGAAAAAGUGAGGUAAGAGCUCACUAAGAGAUAUAGUGAUAUAUUUCUUGUGUAAACCCUAUCUGGAGCAACGCCUUGUAAUUCGAGGGAUUUAUGCUCUUUAAAUGUCCCUUGUACUGUGCGGCUAGAGGCUAGUAGUAAUACUAGUUCGAGAUAAAUGACCAUGCAUGACAGAACCCGGCUUAUUGUUUGCC
rnacentral:RNase_P_RNA from 1 species